GCUCUUAUUUCCAAAAAAUAUGAUUUCUCAUUUGUUCUAUUUUAUUUGUGUAUUUAUUUGGUAGUUGGUUUAUUACUAUCCCAAAGAUUGCUGUAAGCCAGUCUAUCUAUCUAUGCACUAUGCUUUGGGACUUUACAAAGUCAGAUUAUAAAAUCAUUGAGAUUUUUGUUGAGAUAUGUAAUUUUAAUAAAAGUGAUGUGAUUAGGCAAAGAAUCUAAAGCUGGGUCCCAGGGUCUUCCACAUAACAGUGCAUCUUCAAGAAAGUAGGUGUUCAAAGCAGCUGCAUGAUCCAUAAAUCUGGAUCUUCCAUCUUGGGAGGCUUACAAUUCACAUGAUCAUCUAUUAACAAUUCUGAGGCACUGUGAAAGGAGGAGCAGCAACAUGGCAGCUUAGGGAGCUGGUGACCCUCUGGACGCUAAGUGUGUAGAGGACCUGUUCGUUCACUGUUAUCAACCCAACUCAGGAGAAGCUGACACCUGUGCAAGUGCAAUUCAUGCAGCAGGUGCAGCUUGCCCAGUGGCAGAAGGCCCUACCACAGAAGUGGACCUGGAACAUCAUGACCAGCCUAGGCAUCGGGGCCCUGGUAUUAGCUAUUUAUGGAUACACCUUCUACCCGAUUUCCCAGGAGCGUUUCCUAGGUGAGCUAGAAGACAAUGCCAAAGCUGCCUGAGCCCAAGCUCUGUAGAGGGCAUCAGGAUCCUAAUCUGGAUGAGCACUGGACAUCUCCAACCUGCUGGUGCCCCUUCACGUGGUGAAUGAUGCCCCAUGAUCCUGUAGAAAUUGAAUCCUGCUCACAACAUUGUUGGCCUUCCUAUUAACCUUAGACCAUGACUGAGCCCAGUAAACCAGAGACUUAUCCAUUUGGCCACUGUCAAAAGAACAGAAGUUUGCCCAUCUCACACUUGCUGUGUACAGUGACUGAGCCCUCAUAGUUUGUUUCCUUGUUUGAGAGGUGUGCAUGUGACCUUGGGUUUUCCCAAAGUUUCUGACUUUGUGUUUUAGCCCCUUCACCUUUCCAGGGAUGCAACUGUUAUGGGAUUAAGCGUGGUAGCUCUGUGCAGUGUUAGAGCCUAAAGUAGAAUAGAGUCAAGUUGAGAAUAAUAAACUGAAUCAUCUCUCCUGGAAAAAAAAAAAAAAAA